GUGAGAACAGCAGAUUGGAAGGCACUGUCCAGCAGCCAAGCGAGAGCGUUGAAGCCCUUCCGAGAGCCCUGCAAGCCUCUGCCUCAGGUGGUGAACUUUCCCAGCAGCUGGACAUGGAGCCUGGAACAGGCAUGCAGCUCGAGGCCCCAAACCAGGCUUUGCAAGAAGAGCUGUCCACUCUGCUUGGGAAGUGUGAACAACUGGAGAAGAGCAAAUGUCAGCUGCAAGAAGAGGUGACAAAACUCCACCACCAUUUGGAGACUUUGGUGCUGGAUGGCAGCCAAAGAGAACAGUGUACAGGAGAGGUGGCAGAAGGAGCUGACCAGGAAAGAAGUGCAAAGCUACAAGAGGCACAGGCAGCCCACCAGGCCCCACUAGGACAAACUGGAGACAUUCAUUGUGAAUCCAUGAGAAUCCAGUUGGAAGAAAGAAUUAAAAAUCUGGAAAGGG